rnacentral:misc_RNA from 1 species
GCGUAACACUGCUCUAUCCUUCUCCAUGUGGUGAGCAUCAGAUAACUUGUCAUCACAGAAGCCAUCUUUGGAACCAUUAAGAUCCUGUGUCUGGUUGCUGCUAUCUGCAUUGCCUGACAGAGUCUCAUCAUCACUAGCCAUUUGAUUUUUAGCAGUAAUUUCUCCUACCUCAUCCUCAGGUAUUGAAAUAGUUUCUCCCUUCAAGCCACCAUCUGAAAUUGUAUCAGUAGUUUCUUCUACCUCAUCCUGUGGUACAGAAAUGGAUUCUCCCUUAAAACCACCAUCUGAAAUUGUGUUUUCAAUUGAGCGAGAAUCUUGGAACUCAGUUUUAGUAUGAUCAACUUCAUCAGUAGAAGGAAAAGACUGAAAAGUAUCCCAAUCGUCUUCUUCCUCUUCCUCGGAAUUGUCCUCCACCUCUUCACUGCAAGGAGCUGAAACAAUAAUUUCCUCUUUUCUAUUUUCCUCUAUUUUAGCAGGCAGUUUGAUAAUAAAAGAUGGUCCAGUGGAAUUGACUUGUUUCUGGUUCUGGUCUUGCAUCACAGAAGCACGUAUUAUAUCCUGCAAUUGUUGUCUUCUGAUCAUUGGCAUUGUCAGUAAAACCUCCUUGAUACAAGC